rnacentral:rRNA from 1 species
UACGUAGGGGGCAAGCGUUGUCCGGAAUUAUUGGGCGUAAAGAGCGUGUAGGCGGUCCGGUAAGUCAGCUGUGAAAGUCAAGGGCUCAACCCUUGAAAGCCGGUUGAUACUGUCGGGCUAGAGUCCGGAAGAGGCGAGUGGAAUUCCCAGUGUAGCGGUGAAAUGCGUAGAGAUCCGGAGGAAGACCGGUGGCGAAGGCGGCCUGCUGGGCAGUUACUGACACUGAGGCGCGACAGCGUGGGAGCAAACAGG